rnacentral:rRNA from 1 species
UACGUAGGGUGCAAGCGUUGUCCGGAAUUAUUGGGCGUAAAGAGCUCGUAGGCGGUUUGUCGCGUCUGCUGUGAAAGCCCGGGGCUCAACCCCGGGUCUGCAGUGGGUACGGGCAGACUUGAGUGCGGUAGGGGAGAUUGGAAUUCCUGGUGUAGCGGUGGAAUGCGCAGAUAUCAGGAGGAACACCGAUGGCGAAGGCAGAUCUCUGGGCCGUUACUGACGCUGAGGAGCGAAAGCAUGGGGAGCGAACAGG